CCUACGGGUGGCAGCAGUGAGGAAUCUUUGUCAAUGGGCGCGAGCCUGAACCAGCCAAGUCGCGUGAGGGAAGACGGUCCUAUGGAUUGUAAACCUCUUUUGUCGGGGAGCAAAAGACGCCACGCGUGGCGUUCCGAGAGUACCCGAAGAAAAAGCAUCGGCUAACUCCGUGCCAGCAGCCGCGGUAAUACGGAGGAUGCGAGCGUUAUCCGGAUUUAUUGGGGUUAAAGGGUGCGCAGGCGGAAGAUCAGGUCAGCGGUAAAAUUGAGAGGCUCAACCUCUUCGAGCCGUUGAAACUGGUUGUCUUGAGUGAGUGAGAAGUAUGCGGAAUGCGUGGUGUAGCGGUGAAAUGCAUAGAUAUCACGCAGAACUCCGAUGGCGAAGGCAGCAUACCGGCGCUCAACUGACGCUCAUGCACGAAAGUGUGGGUAUCGAACAGGAUUAGAUACCCGGGUAGUC
rnacentral:rRNA from 1 species